UCCUACAUAGUCUAGCGUUUAGGAUUCCUGGUUUUCACCCAGGUGGCCCGGGUUUGACUCCCGGUUGUGGGAA
rnacentral:tRNA from 1 species